rnacentral:misc_RNA from 1 species
GAAAUGCGAUACGCAAUGCGAAUUGCAGAAUUCCGCGAGUCAUCAGAUCUUUGAACGCAACUGGCGCUGGAGGGAUAUCCUUCCAGCAUGCUUGUUUCAGUGUCUAGAAACCUCACGCAUCUUACUGUGAUUGAUUUUUUGGGGGCGUCACCCCCUCAAAAUCUCUCAUGAAAUGCGCUGGCGUGGGUCUUGGGCCCCGGCGAAGUAGUCACAUGUAUAUGUGAUUUCGCAGUGUGGCUCAUUACCCGUAGACGCCUCUCCAAACUUUCUUCAAUAUGCAUCUGAAAUCAAGCAAGGUCACCUGCUGAACUUAA